rnacentral:tRNA from 2 species
AGGAAAUUAGCUUAACUGGUAAAGCGACCGCCUUACAACUGGUAGUAGGGUGUUCAAGUCACCCAUUUCUUA